AACACAUGCAAGUCGAACGGUCUUUUAGGAGAUAGUGGCGGACGGGUGAGUAACGCGUGAGAAUCUAGCUUCAGGUCGGGGACAACCACUGGAAACGGUGGCUAAUACCGGAUAUGCCGAAAGGUGAAAGGCUUGCUGCCUGAAGAUGAGCUCGCGUCUGAUUAGCUAGUAGGUGUGGUAAAAGCGCACCUAGGCGACGAUCAGUAGCUGGUCUGAGAGGAUGAUCAGCCACACUGGGACUGAGACACGGCCCAGACUCCUACGGGAGGCAGCAGUGGGGAAUUUUCCGCAAUGGGCGAAAGCCUGACGGAGCAAUACCGCGUGAGGGAGGAAGGCUCUUGGGUUGUAAACCUCUUUUCUCAGGGAAGAAAAAGAUCAGCCGCGGUAAUACGGAGGAUGCAAGCGUUAUCCGGAAUGAUUGGGCGUAAAGGGUCCGCAGGUGGCUAUGUAAGUCUGCUGUUAAAGAACCUAGCUUAACUAGGUAAAAGCAGUGGAAACUACAAGGCUAGAGUGCGUUCGGGGUAGAGGGAAUUCCUGGUGUAGCGGUGAAAUGCGUAGAUAUCAGGAAGAACACCAGUGGCGAAGGCGCUCUACUAGGCCGCAACUGACACUGAGGGACGAAAGCUAGGGGAGCGAAUGGGAUUAGAUACCCCAGUAGUCCUAGCCGUAAACG
rnacentral:rRNA from 1 species